GAAGGGCUAAUUAGGAAAAGCACUUCAAGGCUGCAGUUGGCCUGACUCAGGGCCAAUGAAACAAGGAGGGCUGUGGGAGUCCUGAAGCAGGGAGAAAAAAGUUUGGAUGUGUGGGGCUAAAGAAGAUAUCUGUACCCCAUAAACCAGGUCGGGCGGUCUGUAUUGCAAGCUCUUACUAUGGAUUUGUACAGCUCCUAGCACAUUUGGGCCCUCAUCCUGAUAAAAAUAACAGAACCUAAAAGGUAGAGCACCGCACAAUUGUUUAGGGGUCCGAUCCUGAGGUGUGUGGACAGUGUUCAGCAUGUUCCAGGAGGCACCGAUCAUGCAGGAUUGAACCCCCAAGUAGGGUUUUCACUUUUUUUCUUAAAGCAUCAGGAACUGGCCAUUGCUGGAGGCUGAAUGCAAUGUGCAAUGACGUGGUAUGGAACCACAUGGCAAUUCCCCUGCCACCUCUUGACAGACAAAUGAUGGGGCUGGGAGUACCAAUGAAAAAAUGUUUUGCUUCUUGAAACAGGAAAAAGAUAAAAUAGGGUGAAAGUGGCUUCCCCUUGUGAGAAGGGGAGUGGUGGGAGCCCUCAACUGACUCCCGACUCUUGUCUCACACUUCCUUUAAAAGUAUGUUAAUCUGGCACUGGUUUAAGCAGCUCCUGUCAGUGUGUCCAUGCACAAACACACCCACAUCUGUAUUUGCAACAACAACAAACUCCCUUAAAGAUGUUGCUAGGUUUGUGGGUGAUGGGUCAGCAGCUCAGGAACUGAGUUUGGUUCUGGGCCCACUUUUUGGAAGGCUGAUCAGCAUCUUAACACCCCAGCAAUAGAUUCAACAUUACAAUGUUUAGGACUUGUAAAGUUUAUGACCUGCCAACCCUGACAAUGACCUUUAAGAAUAGUGAGUGAAAUUCGCCCUGGCGCAGACAUCCCAGCACAAGGCUUAGGCCCCACUUAAGUCUCACAGGAGACUGGGAAUCAUUAGCUAAUUGUUACAAAUGCACAACAAAAACAUUUUAGGACAGCACUCCAAGAAAUGCAGUCAGACUAGAAACCUGCACUUCUCAAAUGACAGGAGGCAAUCGGCCUUUGCCCUUGGGUCACACAAUGUACCCACAGCAUAUAGAGAACUGACCGCUCACCUUAUUCUGUUAUUAC